GACGAACGCUGGCGGCGUGCUUAACACAUGCAAGUCGAACGGAAAGGCCCUGCUUUUGUGGGGUGCUCGAGUGGCGAACGGGUGAGUAACACGUGAGUAACCUGCCCUUGACUUUGGGAUAACUUCAGGAAACUGGGGCUAAUACCGGAUAGGAUCUCCUGCUGCAUGGUGGGGGUUGGAAAUUUUCGGCGGUUGGGGAUGGACUCGCGGCUUAUCAGCUUGUUGGUGGGGUAGUGGCUUACCAAGGCUUUGACGGGUAGCCGGCCUGAGAGGGUGAACGGCCACAUUGGGACUGAGAGACGGCCCAGACUCCUACGGGAGGCAGCAGUGGGGAAUAUUGCGCAAUGGGCGGACGCCUGAUGCAGCAACGCCGCGGGCGGGAUGACGGCCUUCGGGUUGUAAACCGCUUUCGCCUGUGACGAAGCGUGAGUGACGGUAAUGGGUAAAGAAGCACCGGCUAACUACGUG
rnacentral:rRNA from 1 species